rnacentral:rRNA from 1 species
GAGGUUCUUUUGAACCUAGCGGCGAAUGGGUGAGUAACACGUGCUUAAUCUACCCUUUAGAUUGGAAUACCCAAUGGAAACAUUGGCUAAUGCCGGAUACGCAUGGAAUCGCAUGAUUCCGUUGUGAAAGGAGCCUUUAAAGCUCCGCUAGAGGAUGAGGGUGCGGAACAUUAGUUAGUUGGUAGGGUAAUGGCCUACCAAGACUAUGAUGUUUAGCCGGGUCGAGAGACUGAACGGCCACAUUGGGACUGAGAUACGGCCCAAACUCCUACGGGAGGCAGCAGUAGGGAAUAUUCCACAAUGAGCGAAAGCUUGAUGGAGCGACACAGCGUGCACGAUGAAGGUCUUCGGAUUGUAAAGUGCUGUUAUAGGGAAAGAACACCUGGUUGAGGAAAUGCUUCCAGGCUGACGGUACCCUGUCAGAAAGCGAUGGCUAACUAUGUGCCAGCAGCCGCGGUAAUACAUAGGUCGCAAGCGUUAUCCGGAAUUAUUGGGCGUAAAGCGUUCGUAGGCUGUUUAUUAAGUCUGGAGUCAAAUCCCAGGGCUCAACCCUGGCUCGCUUUGGAUACUGGUAAACUAGAGUUAGAUAGAGGUAAGCGGAAUUCCAUGUGAAGCGGUGAAAUGCGUAGAUAUAUGGAAGAACACCAAAGGCGAAGGCAGCUUACUGGGUCUAUACUGACGCUGAGGGACGAAAGCGUGGGGAGCAAACAGGAUUAGAUACCCUGGUAGUCCACGCCGUAAACGAUGAUCAUUAGUCGGUGGAGAGUUCACUGACGCAGCUAACGCAUUAAAUGAUCCGCCUGAGUAGUAUGCUCGCAAGAGUGAAACUUAAAGGAAUUGACGGGGACCCGCACAAGCGGUGGAGCAUGUGGUUUAAUUUGAAGAUACGCGGAGAACCUUACCCACUCUUGACAUCCUUCGCAAUGCUAUAGAGAUAUAGCGGAGGUUAACGGAGUGACAGAUGGUGCAUGGUUGUCGUCAGCUCGUGUCGUGAGAUGUUUGGUCAAGUCCUGCAACGAGCGCAACCCCUAUCUUUAGUUACUAACGAGUCAUGUCGAGGACUCUAGAGAUACUGCCUGGGUAACUGGGAGGAAGGUGGGGAUGACGUCAAAUCAUCAUGCCUCUUACGAGUGGGGCAACACACGUGCUACAAUGGUCGGUACAAAGAGAAGCAAUAUGGCGACAUGGAGCAAAUCUCAAAAAGCCGAUCUCAGUUCGGAUUGGAGUCUGCAAUUCGACUCCAUGAAGUCGGAAUCGCUAGUAAUCGCAGAUCAGCUACGCUGCGGUGAAUACGUUCUCGGGUCUUGUACACACCGCCCGUCACACCAUGGGAGCUGGUAAU